AAAGGCCGAUAUUUAUCGCACACCAGUGCUCACAAGGAAUAACAUGCACGGACUGUUCAUACGACCCUUAUCACCAAUGGGUGGCCCGCCUGUGAUCCGUAGCACUACUCCUGGGAUGAUACCUCGAGGACCAGGUCCAAGUAUCAGGCCACCAACGGCUGGAAGUACGCAAGUGAUGCCUGGGCCUCGGAUGAUGCAAACUCCCGCUCGGCCAAUGAUGCCGGCCAUUAGAUCUUCUAUGGUGCGACCUAUAAUGUAAAGCCACCGUGCUAUGACUCCGAAAGCGACUCCGCUAAAUAUCCACACUGGUUUUAAAGUCGAUCGAAGAGUUAUAUUGCCCAUCUGCGUUAAUGUCUGCAGUUCAAUAAAAUGCGAGUGACUCGGA